UAGGGGGACUUGGAGACUGAAGUACUACAUUUAUUCACAGAACAGGUAUAGCAAGGGCAGCAAAAUUUCCCUACUCUGCCGCAUCAAUGUGACAUAGUCUUGACCAGCUUUAAGGAUGUAACGCUGUGAUGGGGUGUUCACCCCACAUGCACUGAGAGGGUUCA
rnacentral:sRNA from 1 species